UAUGUAGGGUGCGAGCGUUAAUCGGAAUUACUGGGCGUAAAGUGUGCGCAGGCGGCCGCGCAAGUCGAGUGUGAAAUCCCCGAGCUUAACUUGGGAAUUGCGCUCGAAACUACGUGGCUGGAGUGUGGCAGAGGAAGGUGGAAUUCCACGUGUAGCGGUGAAAUGCGUAGAUAUGUGGAGGAACACCGAUGGCGAAGGCAGCCUUCUGGGCCAACACUGACGCUCAUGCACGAAAGCGUGGGGAGCAAACAGG
rnacentral:rRNA from 1 species